CCGGGACACACGUGUUACAAUGGCAGGUACAGAGGGGUGCUACCGGUGACCGGAUGCCGAUCUCGAAAACCUGUCCCAGUUCGGACUGGAGUCUGCAACCCGACUCCACGAAGUUGGAUUCGCUAGUAAUCGCGCAUCAGCCAUGGCGCGGUGAAUACGUUCCCGGGCCUUGUACACACCGCCCGUCAAGCCAUGGGAGCCGGGGGCGCCUGAAGUCCGGGACCGCGAGGACCGGCCUAGGGCGAAACUGGUGACUGGGGCUAAGUCGUAACAAGGUACC
rnacentral:rRNA from 1 species